CAUUUUUUUCAAUUUUGCAGAUUCGGGCUGGAUUUUGCGCCAUCGGACGAAAAUACCCUUAUUUCUUUUCUUUCUCUCUCUUUUAUUUUCCUCUCUCUUCUUUUCCUUUCCUUUGCUAUUUUUUUUCUUCCGCCACCUGCAGCUGCGCCCUCUGCUGCACCCCCGCCGCCGCCACCGUGCUCGCGUUCGCCUACCUCUACUACCAGCCCGGCCUUCCCUCAUUCAUCCUCUUCGUCCGACCCAACCGCGCCUGGAUUUUCCCCCGAUCCUUCCACCCGCGACGCUGUCGCCACCCGCGCUGUUGCCGUUGCCGCCACCCGCGUCGUUGCCGUUGCCACAUCCCGCCUUCUCCGCUCCGCCGCGCCGCGCUGCCGCCGCCGCCGAGGAAACGCAUCCAACACGAUGCCGCGGCCGCCACCUGCGCCGCUGCCGCCACCCGCGCCGCUGCCGCCACCCGCGCCGUUGUUGCUGCCGCAUCCCAUCUUCUCCGCUCUGCCGCGCCACGCUCCGCUGCCGCUGCCGCCAGGGGCCCGUAUCCUACCUUCUUCGUAGGGCUUCAGGGGGGAGGAGAAGAAAGAAGGAGAAAGAAAAAAAAUUGUGUAAAUUAGAGGCAGAAGAAAAAAAAAAUAAUGUAAAUUUCAUCCAAAUGGUGUAAAAUUGGGCGAAAAAUUGGGCCAAUUUUGAUGAGAAUUGCACAAUUUUGCACCAUUUUGCUCAAUUUUGCACUAUUUCGUCCAAAAUUGUACAAUUUUUCUUUCUCCUCCUCUUCCUCUUCCUUCUUCCUUUUUACACCAUUACAUCAUUUUUUACACCUUAAAAAAUUACAUUUUUUGGACGCUCUCAUCUCCCUCUUCGGAGAGUAGGACUCGGACGGCGAUCUUGAGGUGGGCGAGGUCGCGUCCCGCAUCGCCCAGCUCUACUACGGCCAGUACCGCCGCACCAGUGACUCCUCCUACCUCGCCGAGGCCUUUGUCUUCUACGAGGCCAUCCUCGACCGUGAGUACCUCCGCGCCGUUGUCGCCGCUGUCGAGGUCGCACUCGCGCACAACCAGAUCUGCCUCCUCGUAAGGUUCCAUAACACGGGGCGAUCCUCGGGCAGCGCGGCGCGGCGCCAUCGCGGAGGCGAGACCCAGAGCAAGCCCUAGGCGUGCGGCGCGGAACUCGUCGGGGGUGAGAUCGGAAUAGGAGGGGGAAAAGGACGAAGAAGAGGAGAAGAGGGGAGAGAGGAGGAGGAGGAGGAGGAAAGAGAGGAGUUUGGGGAGGGGCGUUUUGGGAAGGGCCAUGAUUGGUGGGGGAAGGGGAGGGCACUGCGGAGGAGGAGAAAGCGGAAGAAAAAAAUGGCNCUUUCCUUUGCUAUUUUUUUUCUUCCGCCACCUGCAGCUGCGCCCUCUGCUGCACCGCCGCCGCCGCCACCGUGCUCGCGUUCGCCAACCUCUACUACCAGCCCCGCCUUCUCUCUUUCCUCCUCCUCUUCGUCUGACCCAACCGGGUCCGGAUCUCCCCCCGAUCCUUCCACCCGCGCCGCUGUCGCCACCCGCGCCGCUGUCGCCACCCGCGCCGUUGCCGUUGCCACAUCCCACCUUCUUCGCUCCGCUGCCGUCGCCGCCAG
rnacentral:lncRNA from 1 species